CUCUGCUGCGAGAAGGUGUGUGCGAGCACACCAGAGCCUUCCACCAGCUGGGUGCCCUGCCUGUCCGGACCACGGCAGGGGUGAUGUUGCCUGCCUCUCCGGACUGCUACAGUUGGUCAGGCUGCUGUCUUGUCUUCCUUUAGUUUUGUUUACUGUUUGAUUUAUUAUUGUCCCAGUUACUUUUGGUUUGGUUGUCUUUGUCCGUUGUCUUUCUUUUGUAAGCAGGCAGAGUGUUAAUGGGGGGGGGGCCCUAGUCACCUGCUGGGGAACCAGAGUAAUUGCAUGUGUGUGUGCUGAGAGUUGCUUGCUGUGGAGAGCUGCAUUACUGUGUGAGACACUUUCUUAAACUUGCUGUGUUUUGGUGCAAACGUAUCGCCCUUGAUAUUAGCCUGCCCCCUCAGGCAAGCUCUGCCUGCCUCCGCUAUUUGUUGCCCUUCCCUCCUUUGUUAGAGUGUCUGUGUUGUCUUUUGGUGUUAAAUAAAAUCCUUUAUUUAUGG